AACGAACGCUGGCGGCAGGCUUAACACAUGCAAGUCGAACGCCCCGCAAGGGGAGUGGCAGACGGGUGAGUAACGCGUGGGAACAUACCCUUUCCUGCGGAAUAGCUCCGGGAAACUGGAAUUAAUACCGCAUACGCCCUACGGGGGAAAGAUUUAUCGGGGAAGGAUUGGCCCGCGUUGGAUUAGCUAGUUGGUGGGGUAAAGGCCUACCAAGGCGACGAUCCAUAGCUGGUCUGAGAGGAUGAUCAGCCACAUUGGGACUGAGACACGGCCCAAACUCCUACGGGAGGCAGCAGUGGGGAAUAUUGGACAAUGGGCGCAAGCCUGAGCCAGCCAUGCCGCGUGAGUGAUGAAGGCCUUAGGGUUGUAAAGCUCUUUCACCGAUGAAGAUAAUGACGGUAGUCGGAGAAGAAGCCCCGGCUAACUUCGUG
rnacentral:rRNA from 1 species